AAGCCUGAUCCAGCAUGCCGCGUGUGUGAGAAGGCCUUCGGGUUGUAAAGCACUUUUGUCCGGAAAGAAAUCCUUGGCUCUAAUACAGUCGGGGGAUGACGGUACCGGAAGAAUAAGCACCGGCUAACUACGUGCCAGCAGCCGCGGUAAUACGUAGGGUGCGAGCGUUAAUCGGAAUUACUGGGCGUAAAGCGUGCGCAGGCGGUUUGCUAAGACCGAUGUGAAAUCCCCGGGCUCAACCUGGGAACUGCAUUGGUGACUGGCAGGCUAGAGUAUGGCAGAGGGGGGUAGAAUUCCACGUGUAGCAGUGAAAUGCGUAGAGAUGUGGAGGAAUACCGAUGGCGAAGGCAGCCCCCUGGGCCAAUACUGACGCUCAUGCACGAAAGCGUGGGGAGCAAACAGGAUUAAAUACCCCCAGUAGUCAAGUUUAGGGGCCAGCGUUGGCCGGGUUUUGUCACCCGCCGCGUUGCUGGCGUUUUUCCAUAGGCUCCGCCCC
rnacentral:rRNA from 1 species